rnacentral:rRNA from 1 species
AGCGAACGCUGGCGGCAGGCCUAAUACAUGCAAGUCGAGCGCACCUUCGGGUGAGCGGCGGACGGGUGAGUAACGCGUGGGAACGUGCCCUUUGGUACGGGAUAACUGAGGGAAACUUCAGCUAAUACCGUAUGUGCCCUACGGGGGAAAGAUUUAUCGCCAUUGGAGCGGCCCGCGUUGGAUUAGGUAGUUGGUGAGGUAAAGGCUCACCAAGCCUACGAUCCAUAGCUGGUCUGAGAGGAUGAUCAGCCACACUGGGACUGAGACACGGCCCAGACUCCUACGGGAGGCAGCAGUAGGGAAUCUUGCGCAAUGGGCGAAAGCCUGACGCAGCCAUGCCGCGUGUAUGAUGAAGGUCUUAGGAUUGUAAAAUACUUUCACCGGGGAAGAUAAUGACGGUACCCGGAGAAGAAGCCCCGGCUAACUUCGUGCCAGCAGCCGCCGCCGUAA